UGCGUAGGCGGUCCGGUAAGUUGGGUGUGAAAUACCUCGGCUCAACCGAGGGAUUGCGCUCAAUACUGUCGGACUCGAGGGAGACAGAGGUGAGCGGAACUUAGGGUGGAGCGGUGAAAUGCGUUGAUAUCCUAAGGAACACCGGUAGCGAAAGCGGCUCACUGGGUCUUUUCUGACGCUGAUGCACGAAAGCUAGGGGAGCGAACG
rnacentral:rRNA from 1 species